GCCAGUGUGGCAUAGUGGUUUGAGUUUUUGACUACGACUCUGGAGACCAGGGUUCAAUUCCCAGCUCAGCCA